AGGCAAUCCGUUUUCACCGCCAUGGGAGGAGGGGAAUUCAUUAGAGCAGCGGCGAAGAUGGCCGGAGCCGGAGCCGGAGCCGUUAACGCUGGUGUCCGAGGAUCGUCGACGGUGCCUCAGUUUGGGCAAUUGCUUCGCAGCGCGUCGAGACCGUCGUCUGUUUUCGUCGGAUCGUCUUCUCCGGUGCCACCGGCGAAGGCCACCGCCGGUGCCGACGUGGAAGUUGUGCAGAAACCGGCGUGGGAGAUCGAUGACUGGGAAUUCGCUAACUUCGAGGACGAUUUGGCCAUGGACGCUGCUGGGCUUAAACCAAGGAUUGUUUUUGGGGCGGUUCCCAGUUUCGAAGAGGCGAAGGAAGCUACGACGGAGGUGAAGGAGGCUUUGGAUAAGGUAUACUUGUCUUCUUCACCAGAAUCUGGUGGAUUAAAUCUGAUGGUACCUUCAAAAAGUAAAGAGCCCGAGUCUUGUUUAUCUAUUGAGACGAGUUUACAGUCACAGACUUCGGUGCCUCAGCAUGCAAUUCAAGCAUUUAAGCUGCUCAAGGAAAGUGCUGAAGCUCAGACUGUUGUUGCCUCAAUUGCCUCUGACCCAAAUGUCUGGAAUGCAAUGUUGGGAAAUGAAGCGCUUAAGAGCUUCUUGCAAUCAUAUCAGACCAACAAGGUACUUGAGUAUCAUGAAGUUUCUGAAGAGCCUGAAGAGGCGCCAGUUGUGAGUUACACUGAGCAGUCGCAAAAUGAGUCGAGAGAUGUCUUUCACGAGACGCUAGAAUAUAUUAAAACUUCCAUUGAUGACAUGCUGACUAAGGCAUCCAGUUUCCUUCAGAAAAUAUUUGGAUCCUCACCACCUGAAGUUUCUGGAAAUGACAAAGCAACCUCUGGAUUUUCCACUUCAGAGAUAGCCAUGGGAACAUCAAUUAUGGGACUCGUUGUCCUUGUUGUUGCUGUACUGGUUGUGAAGCGAAAUUAGAUGUUGAACUAUGUUUUUUUGGGUAAAUUUGUCGACUUCGCUGUCUUGGAUCUCUUAUUAUGUUCUGCUGAUCUGAGACAUAUUACUGGGUCUUUUUGAAGCAAUACUUGAUGGAAGGAAUAGUUGUAAUUAUUAGUUAUUACUCGUUUGUUUUU
rnacentral:misc_RNA from 1 species